GUUCUGGCUUUGACAGCACAUACACUAGCAAUGGAAUGCAUCUAAGAAUAUUAGCAUGGCUCCUGUGCAAGAAUACUAUGAAGAUUUGAAAAGCAUUAUAAUUUUUU